rnacentral:rRNA from 1 species
UACGAAGGGGGCUAGCGUUGUUCGGAUUUACUGGGCGUAAAGCGCACGUAGGCGGAUCGUUAAGUCGGGGGUGAAAUCCUGGAGCUCAACUCCAGAACUGCCUUCGAUACUGGCGAUCUUGAGUCCGGAAGAGGUGAGUGGAACUCCUAGUGUAGAGGUGGAAUUCGUAGAUAUUCGGAAGAACACCAGUGGCGAAGGCGACUCACUGGACAUGUAUUGACGCUGAGGUGCGAAAGCGUGGGGAGCAAACAGG